GAUGAACGCUGGCGGCGUGCCUAAUACAUGCAAGUCGAGCGAACAGACGAGGAGCUUGCUCCUCUGACGGUAGCGGCGGACGGGUGAGUAACACGUGGAUAACCUACCUAUAAGACUGGGAUAACUUCGGGAAACCGGAGCUAAUACCGGAUAAUAUAUUGAACCGCAUGGUUCAAUAGUGAAAGACGGUUUUGCUGUCACUUAUAGAUGGAUCCGCGCCGCAUUAGCUAGUUGGUAAGGUAACGGCUUACCAAGGCAACGAUGCGUAGCCGACCUGAGAGGGUGAUCGGCCACACUGGAACUGAGACACGGUCCAGACUCCUACGGGAGGCAGCAGUAGGGAAUCUUCCGCAAUGGGCGAAAGCCUGACGGAGCAACGCCGCGUGAGUGAUGAAGGUCUUCGGAUCGUAAAACUCUGUUAUUAGGGAAGAACAAAUGUGUAAGUAACUAUGCACGUCUUGACGGUACCUAAUCAGAAAGCCCCGGCUAACUACGUG
rnacentral:rRNA from 1 species